ACGAACGCUGGCGGCGUGCUUAACACAUGCAAGUCGAACGGAAAGGCCCUGCUUGCAGGGUACUCGAGUGGCGAACGGGUGAGUAACACGUGGGUGAUCUGCCCUGCACUUCGGGAUAAGCCUGGGAAACUGGGUCUAAUACCGGAUAGGAGCCAUUUUUAGUGUGAUGGUUGGAAAGUUUUUUCGGUGUAGGAUGAGCUCGCGGCCUAUCAGCUUGUUGGUGGGGUAAUGGCCUACCAAGGCGGCGACGGGUAGCCGGCCUGAGAGGGUGGACGGCCACAUUGGGACUGAGAUACGGCCCAGACUCCUACGGGAGGCAGCAGUGGGGAAUAUUGCACAAUGGGCGCAAGCCUGAUGCAGCGACGCCGCGUGGGGGAUGACGGCCUUCGGGUUGUAAACUCCUUUCGCUAGGGACGAAGCUUUUUGUGACGGUACCUAGAUAAGAAGCACCGGCUAUCUACGUG
rnacentral:rRNA from 1 species